GAUGAACGCUAGCGGCAGGCCUAACACAUGCAAGUCGAGGGGUAGAGGAAGCUUGCUUCCUUGAGACCGGCGCACGGGUGCGUAACGCGUAUGCAAUCUACCUUAUACAAAGGGAUAGCCCAGAGAAAUUUGGAUUAAUACCUUAUAGUAUUAUGAAAUCGCAUGGUUUUAUAAUUAAAGUUCCAACGGUAUAAGAUGAGCAUGCGUCCCAUUAGUUAGUUGGUAAGGUAACGGCUUACCAAGACAAUGAUGGGUAGGGGUCCUGAGAGGGAGAUCCCCCACACUGGCACUGAGACACGGACCAGACUCCUACGGGAGGCAGCAGUGAGGAAUAUUGGUCAAUGGACGCAAGUCUGAACCAGCCAUGCCGCGUGCAGGAUGACGGUCCUAUGGAUUGUAAACUGCUUUUAUACAGGAAGAAACACUCCCUCGUGAGGGAGCUUGACGGUACUGUAGGAAUAAGGAUCGGCUAACUCCGUGCCAGCCGCCGCAGUAACAC
rnacentral:rRNA from 1 species